UACGUAGGGAGCAAGCGUUGUCCGGAAUCAUUGGGCGUAAAGCGCGCGUAGGUGGCCUCAUAAGUCCGCUGUGAAAGUCAAAGGCUCAACCUUUGAAAGCCGGUGGAUACUGUGGGGCUAGAGUACGGAAGAGGCGAGUGGAAUUCCUGGUGUAGCGGUGGAAUGCGCAGAUAUCAGGAGGAACACCUAUAGCGAAGGCAGCUUGCUGGGACGUUACUGACGCUAAGGCGCGAAAGCGUGGGGAGCGAACAGG
rnacentral:rRNA from 1 species